AAACGAUGGCUAAUACCGCAUGAUGCCUACGGGCCAAAGAGGGGGACCUUCGGGCCUCUCGCGUCAGGAUAUGCCUAGGUGGGAUUAGCUAGUUGGUGAGGUAAGGGCUCACCAAGGCGACGAUCCCUAGCUGGUCUGAGAGGAUGAUCAGCCACACUGGAACUGAGACACGGUCCAGACUCCUACGGGAGGCAGCAGUGGGGAAUAUUGCACAAUGGGCGCAAGCCUGAUGCAGCCAUGCCGCGUGUGUGAAGAAGGCCUUCGGGUUGUAAAGCACUUUCAGUCGUGAGGAAGGUGGUGUAGUUAAUAGCUGCAUUACUUGACGUUAGCGACAGAAGAAGCACCGGCUAACUCCGUGCCAGCAGCCGCGGUAAUACGGAGGGUGCGAGCGUUAAUCGGAAUUACUGGGCGUAAAGCGCAUGCAGGUGGUUUGUUAAGUCAGAUGUGAAAGCCCGGGGCUCAACCUCGGAAUAGCAUUUGAAACUGGCAGACUAGAGUACUGUAGAGGGGGGUAGAAUUUCAGGUGUAGCG
rnacentral:rRNA from 1 species